rnacentral:rRNA from 1 species
UACAGAGGGGGCAAGCGUUGUUCGGAAUUACUGGGCGGAAAGGGCGCGUAGGCGGCCUGCUAAGGCGAACGUGAAAUCCCUGGGCUCAACCCAGGAACUGCGUCCGAUACUGGUUGGCUUGAAUCCGGGAGAGGGAUGUGGAAUUCCAGGUGUAGCGGUGAAAUGCGUAGAUAUCUGGAGGAACACCGGUGGCGAAGGCGGCAUCCUGGACCAACACUGACGCUGAGGAGCGAAAGCCAGGGGAGCAAACGGG